GACGUAGGGCGCAAGCGUUGUCCGGAUUUAUUGGGCGUAAAGAGCUCGUAGGCGGCUUGUCGCGUCGACUGUGAAAACCCGUGGCUCAACCAUGCGGUCUGCAGUCGAUACGGGCAGGCUAGAAUUCGGUAGGGGAGACUGGAAUUCCUGGUGUAGCGGUGAAAUGCGCAGAUAUCAGGAGGAACACCGGUGGCGAAGGCGGGUCUCUGGGCCGAUAUUGACGCUGAGGAGCGAAAGCGUGGGGAGCGAACAGG
rnacentral:rRNA from 1 species